GGCCAGCAGCCGCGGUAAUACGAAGGAUGCAAGCGUUAUCCGGAAUUACUGGGCGUAAAGGGCGUCUAGGCGGUUGAGCAAGUCACCUGUAAAAGUCCACGGCUUAACUGUGGAAUGUCUGGUGAUACUGUUUGACUUGGGUACAGGAGAGGAGGGUGGAACUCACAGAGUAGCGGUGGAAUGCGUAGAUACUGUGAGGUACCCCGAUGGCGAAGGCAACCCUCUGGCCUGUUACCGACGCUGAAGCGCGAAAGCGUGGGGAGCGAAGGGGAUUAGAUACCCCCGUAGUCCACGCCGCAAACGAUGUUCACUGGGUGUCGGUCAUUAAUUAGAUCGGUGCCGGAGCUAACGCAUUAAGUGAACCGCCUGGGGACUACGGCCGCAAGGCUAAAACUCAAGAGAAUUGACGGGGCCCUGCACAAGCGGUGGAGCACGUGGUUUAAUUCGAUGAUAAGCGAAGAACCUUACCUGGACUUGACAUACUAGCAGCAGGAGCCAGAAAUGGUAACGACCCCUACUUU
rnacentral:rRNA from 1 species